ensembl:lncRNA novel transcript
GUGUCCUGUCCAUGGCUGCAGUCAUUGGCCCCAUCUCCCACUGAUGUUCUCUGAAGCCAUGAGGAAGCAGUGGGACUGCAAACAUCCCAGCGCUGUUUUUAGUAAUCUAAUGUUUGCCUGUACUCAUUUCAUCUUUAUCUCACCUGAGCUUUCGAGAUAAUAAUUUUAUCUCAGAGAGAGAUUGAAGUCCAUUCUCUACAAACUUUGAAACAAAAUUAUAUUGUUAGGUUUAAGAAAUAUGAUAUACAAUAAAGAGGAAGAUGAUAGAAUUGUUUUGGAGGAUUUUGCCUAGGCUACUCUGUUAUUAAUGUGGCUGAUAUAUUAAAUCGAUAAGAACUGAUAACAAAAGUAAUGUUCAUAAAAUAAACUUGGCUAAGCAUAAAAAAUGUAAAAGAAAUUAAUAAAGCAAUUCUGUAGAAGAUAA